CCCAACACUUACCGUUCUCUUUCCACCUCAUAGAAGGAAAAGGGGAAACUCAUGGAAAUGGUCUCAAAAUCCUCCUGAGAGAUGUAACCCCGCUGCUCGACAUCAUAAUUCUUGAAUACAGACUGGUGGGGAAGGACAGAGGAAGAGAGCGAGAGGGUGGGGAGAAAAUACGGGCAGGAUCCCCCCUGCCCUGGAGCAAAUGUCCAAACAAACAGCAAAAGAUUACUGGACAGAAUGCAACAGCAGUCUAUAAAUAUUUGUGGUUGUAGAGAACAGCAAGCCAGUGGGAGACUGCACACAUUGCUGGGCCAGCAUGCAGAGAACCAGGGUAGCUGCUUGUCUACCCUACCUUGAGCCAAGAGUUAAGAAGCAGAGGCCUUGAGAACUCCGCACCUAGACAGAAGACAUACAGCUCACCUGGUCAUCGGCUUCACAGUGGUGAGCUGUAUUUAUUUGCAAAUGAUCCAAUUUUUAUCAAAAUAUGCAUAUAUAAGGCCAAUAAACAUAUGCAAAUUU